rnacentral:rRNA from 1 species
UACGAAGGGGGCUAGCGUUGCUCGGAAUCACUGGGCGUAAAGCGCACGUAGGCGGAUUGUUAGUCAGGGGUGAAAUCCUGGAGCUCAACUCCAGAACUGCCUUUGAUACUGGCGAUCUUGAGUCCGGGAGAGGUGAGUGGAACUGCGAGUGUAGAGGUGAAAUUCGUAGAUAUUCGCAAGAACACCAGUGGCGAAGGCGGCUCACUGGCCCGGUACUGACGCUGAGGUGCGAAAGCGUGGGGAGCAAACAGGG